AACGAACGCUGGCGGCAGGCUUAACACAUGCAAGUCGAACGCCCCGCAAGGGGCGUGGCGCACGGGUGAGUAACGCGUGGAUAUCUGCCUUUUGGUUCGGAAUAACCCCGGGAAACUGGGGCUAAUACCGGAUGGUUCCUACGGGAUAAAGAUUUAUCGCCAAAAGAUGAGUCCGCGUACGAUUAGCUAGUUGGUGAGGUAAUGGCUCACCAAGGCGACGAUCGUUAGCUGGUCUGAGAGGACGAUCAGCCACACUGGGACUGAGACACGGCCCAGACUCCUACGGGAGGCAGCAGUGGGGAAUAUUGGACAAUGGGGGCAACCCUGAUCCAGCCAUGCCGCGUGAGUGAUGAAGGCCUUCGGGUUGUAAAGCUCUUUUGGCGGGGACGAUGAUGACGGUACCCGCAGAAUAAGCCCCGGCUAACUUCGUG
rnacentral:rRNA from 1 species